GCACGCCUUUGUUCCCCUACCAGUCCUUUCUCCAACUCUUUCCUUCAGCAAAUGCCCUAGCUCCACCAAAGAAAGCAAACCCUAGCCUUCACCAAUCUUGUCACCGUCUGUCGGAGUGAGAAACUGCUGCUGCCGCCUCCGUUGCACUCAAGAACUUCCGUCUUCGUGCUAUCGGCGUUCGCUACUUCGAUCUCACCAACCCCUGUUCGCUCUCCAUCCCCUAUUCGCUCUCACGAAUCGCCUGGUUGCCGUCGUCCGCGCGCUCAACAGCUCUCCGUCGUCCGUCGAAGGUCAAUGCUCACUGCUAGUGGCUUGUUCUUCGUGUUUUUUUUUAUUGUCUGUUCAGAAAUCAAACCCUCUUCGUGCUUGUUCUUCGAUGAGAUGUCGAGGGACUCUUAAGCUUAUAUGGAGCUUCACAUCUUAGGAUUCAUGGAGAAGACAUAUUAGAUGAAGCUCUUCGAUUCACCUUAAAUCCAUAACUCUUGUGAAGUGUUGACCUAUUGAAUAGUAUUCAGCAAUGUUCUGAAAACCGGACCAGACCGGCCGGUCCGAUCAGUUCAACCUCGAACCGGAGACAUAAACGGUUUGGUCUGAUGUCUAAAACCGGAAAUUAUAAAAGCGGAUGUGAACCGUUGAACCGGGCAGAAACCGGCCGGUUUGGAUAAAACAUCACAGUUUUGCGCUUUAUGGGGAGAAACAAAACGCGCUUCUCCAUCUCCUUCCUUAUUCCUUCGAGCAGAACACGCCCUGCCUCAACCCGGGAAAAACCCUAGCCGCCACCACCGCUGCAGGGAGGAGCCGUGUUUGCCGCCGUCCGUCGCAGUCAGGGGCUUGUCUCCUCGAGUGUUCGUGCGUCACAGUCAGGGGAGUUCUCCAAGUCUUCGACCUGUUCGCAGUCACCAGUCGCAGGCGCACCGCUUCUUCCUCCAGCUCGGCGGCCGUCGUGUUGUCGCCGUUGUUUGUCGCCAUCUGUUGCAGUCAGGGAUUUGUCUGAAAUGUUUGUUUUACGGUUUUAAAUGGCAAAGUGAUGCGAAAAGUGGGUGUGGAGGUUGUGGGGUUGGAAGCCCUAAGGUUCACUGGAUUCCUUAGAGAACAAUGCAACAGAAUAACAUGAGUUUUGAAUCAAUGUACAUUGUUCGAAUGCUGAAACAGGUCACUUGUUGCCAACUUAGCAGCUGCUAAUUGCUACAAGUCUGAGCAUUUGAAAAGACCAGAAAAUUGGGCAUUAGUUGAAAAAGCCAAGUAUUACUACAUUGCUGGCUUUUUCCUAACUUUAUCUCCAGAUUCCAUUCAAUUAGUUGUUGAACAUGCUGUUGCAAAUAACAAGGUCUUCACCAUGAACCUUUCAGCCCCCUUAACUUGGAAACAACACUAGAUCCCGUUUAUGGCUUGCUCGGCAAGAAGAAUCUGUUGCUAAGAGAGAUCGAUCUCUUACAACAGAUGAAUGCAACUCUGCCUAAGAUUAAACCGAAAAGGUCAUCUUGCAAGGUUCAGGUUUAUGUUCAGUUAGCAUAAUACCAUAGAAUGAUCAACAUUUUCUCACUGAACUAGCUCGACAUUCUUUUGAAAUUGAUAAUCCUUUAUCUCCUCACAUUUCUAACUUAGAAUCUAAGGUGUUAAGUGAUCCUAUUAACCCUCAAAGUCAAAAUUUAAUAUUUAGAUAUUUUUUUACUAUUUAACUUUUGAGUUUGUAUUUUGAUAAGAUCAUAUGAAUUUGGUUGAUGAUUUUUGUGUAGUGUUUUAAAUUUGGAAGAUAUUUUAGGAUGUUUAUUUAUUAUUUUAUUCUAAAACGAUUUUUUUGGUUGAACCACCGGUUGAAUCGGUUGGAUUAAUGAACCAAUAAACCAGUGACUAGAGCGGUUUGAUGAUCUGUCCGGUUUUCAAAACCUUGGUUAUUAGUUUAACGGUGGUCACUCGUUUACCU